rnacentral:rRNA from 1 species
UGCAGUCGAGCGGAUGAAGAGAGCUUGUUCUCUGAUUCAGCGGGCAGAGGGGUGAGUAAUGCCUAUGAAUCUGCCUAUUACUGGGGGACAACGAUUCCAAAGGAACACUUAUACCGCUUACNUCCUACAGGAGAAAGCAAGGGACCUUCAGGUCUUGCGCUAAUAGAUGAGCCUAAGUCGGAUUAGCUAUUUGGUGAGGUAAUGGCUCACCAAGGCCACGAUCCCUAUCUGGUCUGAGAGGAUGAUCAUUCUCACUGGAACUGAAACUCAGACCAGACUCCUACUGGAGGCAGCAGUGGGGAAUAUUGAACAAUGGGCGAAAGCCUGAUCCUGCCAUGCCCCUUGUGUGAAGAAGGUCUUCGGAUUGUAAAGCACUUUACCUUGGGAGGAAGGGCAAUAAAUUAAUACUUUGCUGUUUUGACUUUACCGACACAAUAAGCACCGGCUAACUUCAUGCCAGCGCCCGCGGUUAUACGAAUGGAGCAGGCGUUAAUCGUAAUUACUGGGCGUAAAGCGCGCGUAGGUGGUUUGUUAAGUUGAAUGUGAAAGCCCCGGGCUCAACCUGGGAACUGCAUCCAAAACUGGCAAGCUSGAGUAUGGCAGAGGGUGAUGGAAUUUCCUGUGUAGCGGUGAAAUGCGUAGAUAUAGGAAGGAACACCAAUGGCGAAGGCGACCGCCUGUGCUACUACUGACACUGACGUGCGAAAGCGUGGGAGCAACGCGAUUAGAUACCCUGGCAGUCCACGUCCUAACGAUGUCGACUAGCCCUUGGGAUCCUUGACAUCUUAGAGGCCCAUCUAACGCAUUAAGUCUACCGCCUGGGAGUACGACUCAGGUUAAAACUCAAUGAAUUGACAGGCCCG